CUAAGUUGUCCGGAUUGCACUCAAACUUGUGGUCUUUCUGCUGAGGAUUGUAGAGAUUCACAAAAUUAUGCAACCAGUCCUGGUCAAUGGGACUUGGAAAGAAACAACACACGUAUGGCUUCCCAUUCACAUGUGGAAGACGUAGACCAUAUAUGAACUAGUUAUCUUCAUGCUAUGUCCACAAGCUGUUCCAUAAAGGGCGAAAGUGCAGACCAGGUUCCCAGGCUGAAGCCCAAAGAAACUAGCAGAGUACUUCCUCCUGUAUCUGGGAACCUUCCAGAAGCCUGAACGGCUGCACCGGAAGUCGGACUACUCCAAGACUUCCAUGCUCGAAGGGUCACUCGUCUACAAGUUCUGUAA